GAGUUUGAUCUUGGCUCAGAACGAACGCUGGCGGCAGGCUUAACACAUGCAAGUCGAACGCACCCUUCGGGGUGAGUGGCAGACGGGUGAGUAACACGUGGGAACGUGCCCUUCAGUUCGGAAUAACCCAGGGAAACUUGGGCUAAUACCGGAUACGCCCUUACGGGGAAAGAUUUAUCGCUGAAGGAUCGGCCCGCGUCUGAUUAGCUAGUUGGUGAGGUAAAGGCUCACCAAGGCGACGAUCAGUAGCUGGUCUGAGAGGAUGAUCAGCCACACUGGGACUGAGACACGGCCCAGACUCCUACGGGAGGCAGCAGUGGGGAAUAUUGGACAAUGGGCGCAAGCCUGAUCCAGCCAUGCCGCGUGAGUGAUGAAGGCCUUAGGGUUGUAAAGCUCUUUCGUCCGGACGAUAAUGACGGUACCGGAAGAAGAAGCCCGGCUAACUUCGU
rnacentral:rRNA from 1 species